GGGGACGUUAUGGAUUCGACAAGUAUAGUUUGAGCUUGAAUGGCGCUUCGUAGGUUACGUCUACGUUAAAACGUUACAGUUAAAUAUAACUGCUAAAAACGAAAACAACAAUUUCGCUUUAGCUGCCUAAAAACAGCUUGCGAAGAUCCUCUCGGCAUCGCCCAUGUGCUCGAGCAAGGGUCUCAAAUUUAGUGGGAUACGUCAGUAUUUUCCGUCUGCAAAUACUGCAAGAGACCAUCAGACUAGCGAGGCUCAAGGCCUGUUAUACGGCAUAGAGCUGAGCGAAUAAUAAAAUAGUAUAACUAUGAGCGUAGACAUUUAAGUGGCGAUAUAUUUGGACGCGGGUUCAAAUCCCGCCGUCUCCA
rnacentral:tmRNA from 1 species